rnacentral:rRNA from 1 species
CCUACGGGAGGCAGCAGUGAGGAAUAUUGGUCAAUGAGCGCGAGCCUGAACCAGCCAAGUCGCGUGAGGGAAGACGGUCCUAUGGAUUGUAAACCUCUUUUGUCGGGGAGCAAAAGACGCCACGCGUGGCGUUCCGAGAGUACCCGAAGAAAUAGCAUCGGCGAACUCCGUGCCAGCAGCCGCGGUAAUACGGAGGAUGCGAGCGUUAUACGGAUUUAUUGGGUUUAAAGGGUGCGCAGGCGGAAGAUCAAGUCAGGGGUAAAAUUGAGAGGCUCAACCUCGUCGCGCCGUUGAUACUGGUUAACUAGAGUGAGUGAGAGGUAUGCGGAAUGCGUGGUGUAGCGGUGAAAUGCAUAGAUAUCACGCAGAACUCCGAUUGCGAAGGCAGCAUACCGGCGCUCAACUGACGCUCAUGGACGAAAGUGUGGGUAGCGAACAGGAUUAGAUACCCUUGUAGUC